AUUCAACUGAAUAGUCCUGAAUAGGGCAAUACGCGCGUCCUGGAU
rnacentral:hammerhead_ribozyme from 1 species